rnacentral:rRNA from 1 species
CAGCCAGGAUGUUGGCUUAGAAGCAGCCAUCAUUUAAAGAAAGCGUAAUAGCUCACUGGUCGAGUCGGCCUGCGCGGAAGAUGUAACGGGGCUAAACCAUGCACCGAAGCUGCGGCAGCGACGCUUAGGCGUUGUUGGGUAGGGGAGCGUUCUGUAAGCCGUUGAAGGUGGCCUGUGAGGGUUGCUGGAGGUAUCAGAAGUGCGAAUGCUGACAUAAGUAACGAUAAAGCGGGUGAAAAGCCCGCUCGCCGGAAGACCAAGGGUUCCUGUCCAACGUUAAUCGGGGCAGGGUGAGUCGACCCCUAAGGC